UGCCAGCCGCCGCGGUAAGACGGAGGGCUCAAACGUUGUUCGGAAUCACUGGGCAUAAAGCGCACGUAGGCGGCUUGUUAAGUCGGAUGUGAAAUCCCCCGGCUCAACCGGGGAACUGCAUCUGAUACUGGUGGGCUCGAGGACGGUAGGGGUAAGCGGAACUCCAGGUGGAGCGGUGAAAUGCGUAGAUAUCUGGAGGAACACCGGUGGCGAAAGCGGCUUACUGGGCCGUCUCUGACGCUGAGGUGCGAAAACUAGGCUAGCAGUCGGGAUUAGAUA
rnacentral:rRNA from 1 species